rnacentral:rRNA from 1 species
GAUGAACGCUGGCGGCGUGCCUAAUACAUGCAAGUCGAGCGAACAGACGAGGAGCUUGCUCCUUUGACGUUAGCGGCGGACGGGUGAGUAACACGUAGGUAACCUACCUAUAAGACUGGGAUAACUUCGGGAAACCGGAGCUAAUACCGGAUAAUAUUUCGAACCGCAUGGUUCGAUAGUGAAAGAUGGCUUUGCUAUCACUUAUAGAUGGACCUGCGCCGUAUUAGCUAGUUGGUAAGGUAACGGCUUACCAAGGCAACGAUACGUAGCCGACCUGAGAGGGUGAUCGGCCACACUGGAACUGAGACACGGUCCAGACUCCUACGGGAGGCAGCAGUAGGGAAUCUUCCGCAAAGGGCGAAAGCCUGACGGAGCAACGCCGCGUGAGUGAUGAAGGUCCUCGGAUCGUAAAACUCUGUUAUUAGGGAAGAACAAACGUGUAAGUAACUGUGCACGUCUUGACGGUACCUAAUCAGAAAGCCACGGCUAACUACGUG